GCUCUGCAGCAAAUGAUUGAAGAUGGCAGAGAUACAAAUGCAGAGCCCUUUCUGGGACACAAAGGACUCCUCUGAUAGCUGCCUCCUCUGUCUCUGGUCUAAGGACUUCCCAUUGGCCUUAGGAACCCAGAAGAGCUAUUGCCCAAAUUAAUAUGAAAAUGUAGAAGCAAGUUGCAUUUAAAGGAUAUACUUUGGGAGACACAGUGAUGCACCAAGCAGAUCUCUCUUCAAAGAAGGACUUACUGCCUUAGCUUACAGUAGUGUUACAGGCGUUGAUUACAAGAGCACUCUGUAAUAAACCUUCUGCUUAAUGAACAUCAUCUGAGUCUGUUUCCCAAGGAACCCAACCUAUAAUAGAUUGCAUUUCCUUGUGGAAAGGGACGGUGACCAUCAUGCAACACAAUGCCAUGUUCAUAAUUAACACUCCUUAAAUAUUUUUGUAAUAAAUACAUAUGAGCAUAAAUG